UUAAUGGGCGUCGAGCGGCGGACGGGUGAGUAAUGCCUAGGAAAUUGCCUUGAUGUGGGGGAUAACCAUUGGAAACGAUGGCUAAUACCGCAUAAUGCCUACGGGCCAAAGAGGGGGACCUUCGGACCUCUCGCGUCAAGAUAUGCCUAGGUGGGAUUAGCUAGUUGGUGAGGUAAUGGCUCACCAAGGCGACGAUCCCUAGCUGGUCUGAGAGGAUGAUCAGCCACACUGGAACUGAGACACGGUCCAGACUCCUACGGGAGGCAGCAGUGGGGAAUAUUGCACAAUGGGCGAAAGCCUGAUGCAGCCAUGCCGCGUGUAUGAAGAAGGCCUUCGGGUUGUAAAGUACUUUCAGUUGUGAGGAAGGGGGUGUUGUUAAUAGCGAUAUCUCUUGACGUUAGCAACAGAAGAAGCACCGGCUAACUCCGUGCCAGCAGCCGCGGUAAUACGGAGGGUGCGAGCGUUAAUCGGAAUUACUGGGCGUAAAGCGCAUGCAGGUGGUUCAUUAAGUCAGAUGUGAAAGCCCGGGGCUCAACCUCGGAACUGCAUUUGAAACUGGUGAACUAGAGUGCUGUAGAGGGGGGUAGAAUUUCAGGUGUAGCGGUGAAAUGCGUAGAGAUCUGAAGGAAUACCAGUGGCGAAGGCGGCCCCCUGGACAGACACUGACACUCAGAUGCGAAAGCGUGGGGAGCAAACAGGAUUAGAUACCCUGGUAGUCCACGCCGUAAACGAUGUCUACUUGGAGGUUGUGGCCUUGAGCCGUGGCUUUCGGAGCUAACGCGUUAAGUAGACCGCCUGGGGAGUACGGUCGCAAGAUUAAAACUCAAAUGAAUUGACGGGGGCCCGCACAAGCGGUGGAGCAUGUGGUUUAAUUCGAUGCAACGCGAAGAACCUUACCUACUCUUGACAUCCAGAGAAGCCAGUGGAGACACAGGUGUGCCUUCGGGAGCUCUGAGACAGGUGCUGCAUGGCUGUCGUCAGCUCGUGUUGUGAAAUGUUGGGUUAAGUCCCGCAACGAGCGCAACCCUUAUCCUUGUUUGCCAGCGAGUAAUGUCGGGAACUCCAGGG
rnacentral:rRNA from 1 species